UAUCUCUUGCUCUACACCUCCUCCCUAUAUGCGGAGGAUAAGAGUACAGAGGCAACCCCCAUUUUAGUUUUAAAGUAGAAUUCCCAGAGCUCAAAUAAAACAACUUUUCCCCAUAACCACUGAAACGUUCUGUGGAAAAUCAAUCCCAACAACCGUUCUUGGAGCGGACCAAAGCAAGCAAGAGAGCAUACGCAUGCUCACUCUUUCUGGGCAACCUUAGAGCAACGGACCAGCGAUGGAAGACGCUCACUUCCGUCUGGAUAAGAACAAUCCUUGGCCUUUCCUUAGCUCCCACCUGCAUUUAAACACCCCGUUAGAUCUUUUUGUCUUGGUCUCCCGGACCAGGCGCGCCAUUUUAGACAAAUGCAGGAUCGGCGGCGAAGUUGCUGCUGCUUUCAGAAACAAGCAGGCAGCGACAGAGUCUGAGUAGUGGCGAAAGACGAGGAACAGUAGCAACAGCGGAGAUCGCGUUAGCGCAGGGAGCUAUGCAUCCACCGAGCCAAUUUGCUUGGCACGAAUAGACCGUCAGGUAGUUAAGGUAACAUUUUUCUUUUUGGGUCGGCCAAACCAGAGCUUGGGGAAAACGCGGAAGCCGCCACGCUAGCUUCCGCUGCCGGCUGCAGCCACAACCCCAUUAACCUUUUGAAGGCCUCUUAGGCCCAGACGGAAGCAAAGCGUUCUUUUUGCCAGAAUCGGCCUGAGGCGGAUUGCCCCCGCCCCAAUGCUCUUUUGGUUUCUCUAUUCCUGGAAGGCCAGAAAAAUCCGUGGUAGAUGCUGGACUCCAUAACAUACAGACCACUGGGACCUAAAAACCAGCUCCAGCUCCAGAAGAACAUACCUAAAUUGUAAGUAGCCCUUCUAUUACACUAGUAUUUUGUUUAUAUUCAUGUGUUCUUUAAAAAGCCUAUCAGUAAUAUGGUUAAAAGGGAAGCCACACAUGGAAGCAAAAAAAAAUUGAAAGUAAAUCUUAUACAUGAAUAAGGUUGUACUGAGUUACAUGUAUGUAAAAUGAUUGCUAAGUUAAAUACUACUGUGUAAUAUAGGAUUACAAUCAAAGAGUACCUUAGGAACAAAUAGCUUAGUCCUGUACAUCAAUCUUCCUCAACCUGGUGCCCCUUCAGACUAAAGGGUACUCUAAUUACCAUUAUCCCCAUUGCUGGUUAUGAGAAUGGAUGCCCUACAUAUCUAGAGUACAUCAGGUUGAAUAAGACUCUAGUUAUUUCCAUGUAUAGCAGAAAGAACAGAAUAUUACUAUAUUUAUCUAGAAGUUAGAUUUAUUUUUGAGUAGCUAUGCACAGGCUAUUGAUGUGCCCACAAUUGUCACAUUUAUCAAUACCUGUAAAAACUUAGGGGACAUUCAAAGCAAACAAAAAUUCUGCUAAAUAUCCUAUUGUCAGCAAUGUCUCACUUCCCAAGGGGCCAAACUGGUGUAUUCAAGAGAACUUACUUCCAGGUAAAUACCCACAAAAAAUCAUAUGGCUAGCCAUUCAAAACAGUAGCACUGAAUGACUUGAAGCAAGCAUCUGUAAUCCAAUUAACAAGAAAGAUAAAAUACUUCCUAAUUCCCACUUGUAGACCAGUGGUGGGUUUCAAAUUUUUUUACUACCAGUUCUGUAGGUGUGGCUUGGUGGGCGUGGCAUGGCUUGGUGGGCGUGGCAGGGGAAGGAUACUGUAAAAUCUCCAUUCCCUCCCCAAUCCAGGGGAAGGUUACUGCAAAAUCCCCAUUUCCUCCCAAUCAGCUAGGACUUGGGAGGCAGAGAAUAGAUGGGGCGGGGCCAGUCAGAAUUUUUACUACCAGUUCUCCAAACUACCAGUUCUCUAAACUACUCAAAAUUUCCGCUACUGGUUCUCCAGAACUGGUCAGAACCUGCUGAAAUCCACCUCUGCUGUAGACUUCUAACUAACAGGCUGCAUUUAUCUCAAUUUUCUAGCCAAAUUCCCUAGUAAAAGAAUCUAGAUAUUCAAGCAGUUGAGCCUCCUCUGGUCAGUCAUAUUAUACUGUUUCCUAAUAUAAUUUGAUUGCAUAUUUGAUCCCUAUGACUAUCAAGUUGUUGUACCUUAUGAUUCUUGAUCAAUGUAUCUUCUCUUUUAUGUACACUGAGAGCAUAUUCACCAAGACAAAUUCCUUGUGUGUCCAGUAACACUUGGCCAAUAAAGAGUUCUAUUCUAUUCUAUUCUAUUCUAUUCUAUUGUCCCCCUGGGAACCAAGAACCAAGUGUAGCUUCAAUCAAAUGCUGACUUUUUCCUUCUGGAGUUCAGUAGGAAACCUGAGCUCACAAGUUUAUACCUGCCUCCAUGAAUCUCCUGCCCAACUUUGUUAUCAACAAUAUGUAUAUAAAAUGGUAUAAUAUUGCCUGAUUAGAAAAGAAGAACCAAAUCUGCUUGGGGAUAUAUUCUUGCUAAAAAAAAAAUUAAAAACCACCUUGAAAUAGC